CCUACGGGUGGCAGCAGUGAGGAAUAUUGGUCAAUGGGCGAGAGCCUGAACCAGCCAAGUCGCGUGAGGGAGUACUGCCCUAUGGGUUGUAAACCUCUUUUGUCGGGGAGCAAAAGCCGGACGUGUCCGGCUGUGAGAGUACCCGAAGAAAAAGCAUCGGCUAACUCGGUGCCAGCAGCCGCGGUAAUACGGAGGAUGCGAGCGUUAUCCGGAUUUAUUGGGUUUAAAGGGUGCGCAGGCGGAUUUUUAAGUCAGCGGUAAAAUCGUGGGGCUCAACCCCAUCCAGCCGUUGAAACUGGGGAUCUAGAGUGUGCGAGAGGUAUGCGGAAUGCGUGGUGUAGCGGUGAAAUGCAUAGAUAUCACGCAGAACCCCGAUUGCGAAGGCAGCAUACCGGUGCACAACUGACGCUCAGGCACGAAAGCGUGGGUAUCGAACAGGAUUAGAUACCCCAGUAGUC
rnacentral:rRNA from 1 species